rnacentral:rRNA from 1 species
AGAGUUUGAUCCUGGCUCAGAUUGAACGCUGGCGGAAUGCUUUACACAUGCAAGUCGAGCGGCAGCGCGGGGCAACCUGGCGGCGAGCGGCGAACGGGUGAGUAAUGCAUCGGAACAUGUCCAUGUCGUGGGGGAUAGCCCGGCGAAAGCCGGAUUAAUACCGCAUACGCCCGAGAGGGGAAAGUGGGGGACCGCAAGGCCUCACGCGAUUGGGUUGGCCGAUGUCCGAUUAGCUAGUUGGCGGGGUAAAGGCCCACCAAGGCGAUGAUCGGUAGCUGGUCUGAGAGGAUGAUCAGCCACACUGGGACUGAGACACGGCCCAGACUCCUACGGGAGGCAGCAGUGGGGAAUUUUGGACAAUGGGGGCAACCCCGAUCCAGCCAUUCCGCGUGAGUGAAGAAGGCCUUCGGGUUGUAAAGCUCUUUUGUCCGGAACGAAACGGCUAGCGUGAAUAUCGCUGGCUACUGACGUACCGGAAGAA